rnacentral:rRNA from 1 species
ACGCUCGACACCUACGGAGGCAGCAGUGGGGAAUAUUGCACAAUGGAGGAAACUCUGAUGCAGCGACGCCGCGUGAGCGAAGAAGUAUUUCGGUAUGUAAAGCUCUAUCAGCAGGGAAGAAAAAGGACGGUACCUGACUAAGAAGCUCCGGCUAAAUACGUGCCAGCAGCCGCGGUAAUCUGAGGCGGGCUGGCAAGGC